CCUGCUCGCCGGACACGGACGACCGGGGCGCCUGCGAAGAUGAUUCCAUCUGGGAGAGGGACACGGGAUGGAAUGGUAAUACCAUUGAUGAUGGACUUCAUAUGAUGAUUUUGAUGAACUCUGAAUUGUCUCAACUAAGGAAAACCGUUUGUAUAAUCAACCAUAAUUUACUGGAAACAAAACUUUGAGUCAAUCAGCAUGCCUUUCUAUAUGUUGGUAAAUUUCAAUAAAAAAUAUUUUUAAAAAAUCAUUUAGUUCUCCAAAGAAGAUCUAUCUGCAAAUGGCCAGUAAACACAUGAAAAACUGCUCUAUGUUACUAAUCACUAGGGAAAUGCAAAUCAAAACUACAAUGAGAUGCCACUUCAUAUCCAUUAGGAUGGCUACUAUCAAAAAAACAAUUGUUGUGGAGGAGGUGGAGAAAGUGGAAACAAUGUGCACUGUUGAUAGGAAUGUAAAGUGAUGCAGCCACUAUGGAAAACAGUACAGUGGUUUCACAGAAUUUUAAAAAAGAAUACAUAUCAUCUAACAAUUACAUUUUUGGUAUAUCCAAAAGAAUUGAAAACAACAUCUUGAAGAGGCAUUUGAAACCCAUGUUUGUAGCAACAUUAUUCACAAUAGCCAAAAGAUGGAAGCGAGCCAAGUAUCAAUUGACAAAUGGGUGGAUAAACAAAAUAUGGUAUAUAUAUACAAUGAUGGAUUAUUCAGACUUAAAGGAAAGAAAUUCUGGUACAUACUACAGCAUGGAUAAACCUUGAAGACGUAAUGUUAAGUGAAAUGAGCCAGUCACAAAAAGACAAAUGUCGUAUGACUCCACUAAUAUGAGAUACCUAGAGCAGUCAUAUUAUAGAGACAGAAAGAAGAGUGUUGGUUGCCACGGGUCGGGGGAAAGGGGGAAAAGGGAGUUGUUGUUUAACAGAUAUGGAGUUUCAGUUUUGCAAAAUGAAACUAGUUUUGAAAAUUGUUUGCACAACAGUGUGAAUAUAUUUAACACUCCUGAACUGUACAAUUAAAAAUGGUUAACAUUUAAAGUGGUUAAGAUGGUAAAUUUUAUGUUAUGUGUAUUUACCACAAUUAAAAAUAAAAAAGGAAAGCCCAUUUAAAAAUCAUUUAGCAUACUUCUAGAAAAUACAGUGCACCAAGCUGAGGGAAAACCUCCUCUUGCCCAUCACCCCCUGCCCCUCCCACACGCAUCCCACACACGUGCGAACACUGGUUUAAUGCACAGCUGAACUGGAGAGAAAUCCCCAGCUGCCACAAAUGAGAGGGAGAGCAGCAAGCCCAUAUAGAGACCCAACAGCCCAUGGGAAUAUCAGAAGCGAAGCAGGGCUUCAGGGUGAGAAGUUAGUGUUUUAGUUGCUGAGAGAUAAAGCUCCCAGCCUUGCCUCUAGAACUGUGAAGUGCUAUUUAGGCUCUGAAAUAGGGGCAAGAAAAACUGGGCUGGGCUGGACUGGGCAAGCUGCUAAGUUCUGCUGCCCACUUGGGGCCCUGAAUAGAAGCAGUGUCACACAUGAGAAAGCAGAACCAGGAGCCUUCACUAUGGGGAAGCACGGGUUCUAAUUUCACACUGCCUUUGUGAAGCAUGAACGUGUUGAAAAACAUGAACACUGAGAAAAAGUGGGUCCCAAACUGGAGAUAUCCACAGAGCCACUUCAAACAUAAACAUGCCGUUGUCAGAACCCAGGACACAUGAGACUUGCUUGGAAAGCAACUCAGUAAAUAUGAGAUGACAGUCAAAAAUUACAGACUACAUCAAUUAAUGAAGGAAAGAAAGCCACCAAGUGUGACA
rnacentral:lncRNA from 1 species